rnacentral:SRP_RNA from 1 species
GCUGGGCAUGGUGGCACAUGCCUGUAAUCCCAGCUACUUGAGAGGCUGAGGCAGGAGAAUUGCUUGAGCCCAGGAGAUGGAGGUUGCAGUGAGCCGAGAUCGUGCCACUGCACUCUAGCCUGAGCGACAGAGCGAGACUCUGUCUCAA